rnacentral:lncRNA from 1 species
CUGAAUUUGAGUCGCUGUGUUUCUGGUCUGCUCAGUCCAGUCUGAUGUCUGCAGAGUGUUGUCCUCCAGAACGUCCACUUCAGCCAGAGGUUGUUGGGUGCACAGCAGAGGUCAGAGGUCGUCAUCUGGAUAGUUUUAGCUUUUUGGGAACGUCUCCUUGAGCGCUGAUUGAGGUCAUGCGACGGGGCCUCCUGCGAACCCUAAUCCCUCUCUGCACUCAUCUGGGUGCUGGCAUGGAGUUUCCAUACUAAUGCGAGGACGGUUUCAGCAAAGCAAACAAGAAAAAAAAAAACUCAAAGCAGAUCUUAUGCAAAAUUUUAUUCAAUAAUGGCAUUUUUUAAAAUAAUUUAAUUCGAAAAGGAGCUGAAAGAAUAAAAAAACCACACAUGAAUCACGCUUUUGUACAUUUUAGCUGCAAAAAGUAGAUAAAAAAAAUACAUAUUUUCAAGUUAAACAUAAAUUUUUCAUGAUUUUGAAACAUAUUUUGACAACAUAUGACUUUCAGAGACUUACUAAGAAGUCUGACUCAUGUUUAGUCUUUCAUACUGUCCCAAUGCAUUAAGACCAUGAAGUUUAUGGAGUGGGCUCUGCAAUUAAAUAUUGUUGGAUGACUUUGAGGGGAGCACGACAGAUUUCUCUUUCACGCCGAACGCUCCUCGGCCCUCUAGCUGCUCUAAUAGGAUGCAGAUGGUGGCCAAAGUUCACUCAACAGACCGCGACCAGCAGGGAGUGUCCUAAAACGUGUUUGCAGCGUUACUGGGUUGCCAUGCCCGAGACCACAGACAGAAAAAGUAAGAUUUGUCAAACAAUCGACAAACAUAAAUGGAGAAUGUCAUUGUUUUGGGGGUUAUCAGCUCAUAAAAGCAGUAAUCUCCCGUUAAAAGGCUCAAUCUGGGUAAAGACACGUCACCAUGGCAACUAAGAGAGGCUGCAAUUGAUGGAGUUAAGGUCCUGGUAUGGAGAGAGUUUUUUUUUGGAGCAAUGACAUCCACUUCUGAGUCUGGUCCUUCCUAUGAAAUUCUCUUAAAACUCUGUGUUUAUCUUAAAUUUUGUACACAGCACUCUUUGCAGCGUGCGUUCAAGCGCCCACUUCUAACGAAAAGUCCAUGUAAACAUGCGUAAAUGUCCAUUUUGCAUUUACUGCGUUUAUGCAUCACUACGUUUUUAAGUCAAUUUUUGGACUAUAUUUGCAAAACAUGGCCUUUGAACGCGAGUUAAACCAGGUCAGACUUUGACCAAUCAGGGACUCGGAUUUGAUAGUGUCGUGUGGAUGGCGUCGUUUUUAGGGAGGAAGGGCUAAUUGUUUGAACAUUGGAGGACAAAA